rnacentral:lncRNA from 1 species
AUGGAGAAACGCCUUUGAUAAGGAAUAGAAGCUUGCCAGCAGCCACUCGAGUGAGCUUAGGAGUGGGUUCACCAGCACCAGUGAAGCUUUGAGAUAACUGAUGCCCUGGCUGACCCGUUGACUGUAAUCUGAUGAGAGAUGCUGAACCAAAACCAUCCAGAUUGCCACAAAUUGUGCUGCUAAAAUCCUCAGCACUUGGUGUUAUAGUAACCUUGGAAGACAUCCUGAAGAAGACACAGAAGAUCACCACUUUGGCUCAGAAAUGACACUUACAGAUUCUG